rnacentral:tRNA from 1 species
AUUUUAGUGAUUUUCUGGGGCAUAGUGGAAGUAUUGGUGGUGUAACCAUUUAGGAUGGGUUUACGUUCCUUCCUUUUGA